GUCAUUUUGCUUCCUGUUAGGAUUUUAUUGUCAAAAAAAGUAAACCUGAAAUCUGUAAGUGGAGAUGUAAACAACUACACAGGAAAAAAAGUGGUACCAACACAGUAGGAGGAGGAAGGAUUGUGAAGAGUGUGUGAUAAGACAGUGGAAGAAAGUGAAACUGUUGAAAGAUUGCAAGAUCACAUAAGGAACCCCCCUGAAUGUCUGAAGAUCUCUCUGGCUGCAACUGAACCAGUAAAGGAAAGGGUGAUACUGAGCCUUCCCGGGUACUGCAAUUCAAUUGUGCAUGCUGUUCAAUUGCUGGAAGGGUUUCUGGCAUGCUGGAGGCCUUUUCCAAAUAGUUCUACCGAAUCGUGGUUUUGUUUGGGGAGGGGACAUGAGGUGAGGGCCAUUCUCAAACAGUUUUCUGGAUGUUACCAUUUUGUUUUGAAG
rnacentral:lncRNA from 1 species